GAUGAACGCUGGCGGCGCGCCUAACACAUGCAAGUCGAACGAUUAAAGCACCUUCGGGUGUGUAUAAAGUGGCGAACGGCUGAGUAACACGUGGGCAACCUGCCCCUCUCAUUGGGAUAGCCACGGGAAACCGUGGAUAAUACCGAAUACUUCGGGACUUCCGCAUGGAAGACUCGAGAAAGCUCCGGCGGAGAGGGAUGGGCCCGCGGCCUGUUAGCUUGUUGGUGGGGUAAUGGCCUACCAAGGCAAUGAUGGGUAGCUGGGUUGAGAGACCGACCAGCCAGAUUGGGACUGAGACACGGCCCAGACUCCUACGGGAGGCAGCAGUGGGGAGUCUUGAACAAUGGGCGAAAGCCUGAUGCAGCGACGCCGCGUGCGGGAUGAAGGCCUUCGGGUUGUAAACCGCCUUCAGCAGGGACGAGGCGAAAGUGACGGUACCUGCAGAAGAAGCCCCGGCUAACUACGUG
rnacentral:rRNA from 1 species